GGUAAUUGUGUAAUGGAUAUUUUCGACUGUAAACGGCGAAUUAAUCUAUAACUGGAAAGAAUGACAUGAGAUUGUGGCAGCGAUGAAAACAAAAGGAUACCUCCGGUUAUGGACUGCAAACACACUGUAGGCCACGUGUUUGAGUGCGGAAAAGAAAAUUCGAGAAGGAAAUUGGAAGUACCAAUAGAUGAAAGGAUCAAGAUGGAUAUCAUAUUUGAAAAUUUACAGUGGUCUUCACGCUAUGGUCUUAAGUUUCAAUCGUAGGGAAGGUAUUAUUACUUGAUAACCUGUACGUCAAGUUAUGAGACAUGGGCAAAAUUAAGCAAUAUCUAUGAGAAGGAUACAAAACAGCAAAACAUCAUAUAGUAACCCACACUGCGUGGCUGACAGGGGAGGAAUUUUAGUAUCAACCUUACAUCGAGUUAUGAGAUAUGGGUAAAAUUAAACAAUAUCCAUGAGAAGAAUACAGAACAACAAAGAUAUUCUGUUACAGAGGAAUUCUUCCUGUAUAAACAUAAGUUGGAAUAUGAUAUUGUAACCCACAUUGCGUAUCAAACAGAUAAGUUUUCAAAUUACAUGCAUUAGGGAGUAAGAUAGAAAAAACAAUGCUUAUAACUAAAAUCUUAUGUAUGUUUCUAGAUUGUGUAUUUGCAAAUGGCUGGGAGUUAACACAGAAAGAAGAAAAGGAAAUAGAUAAUCUCAAAAUUGAACAGAUUGUCAAGGAAGCAAGGGGAAACGCAGAUCUCUAGCCUUCAAACCUCAGGAGAAGUGGGGUUUCAAGUGCAACUCAACUAAAUAUUUUGCAAGAUUAGGAAGAAAACACGAAACUUAAGAAGUGUACUCUCUCUGUGUUACAUGUAAGAAGUCUAAUUAUUUGGAAAAAUCAUUUAAAUUGUUAUUUUAAAAGCAUGAUGGAAAGAAAAAGACAUCAAGAUAAAAGAAAAUCUGCUUCUUGGUAAAGAGCGAUGGAACAGACUAAUGGAUUUUGGACUUGAGACCAAUGAACCAUAUGGUUAAUAAACUAGAAUAUUUUGAAAAAUAGGAAGGAAUAAGAAUGGAAAUUGGAUCAGCAUAGAGAAAUAUUUCCAUGGAAACUAAAGUGAAAUUUAGAACACGUCAGAUUGUUGUAUGCCUGAAUAUGGUUUGUAUAUUCUACACUUGAGACAGAAUUUAUUGUCAAUAAAUUUGAUAGCUCGAGAUGAUAGUGAGAGAGAAACGAGGAGCUGGUAGACUAGCAGUUAUUCAAGAAAGCAUUGACAAUGAAAUUAACAAAAAGAGUACUAAAGGUAGGAAGUAGAGAAUACAGGAUACUUUCUCUAUACAAAACAAUUGAGGACACCAUUUGGAGAGAUGAGAACACGGGCAAAAAUCAGCUUGAAAUUAUACAUUCUGCUAUAUGUGGGCCUAGAGAGCUAGAGAUGUGGAACGGAAAUAAAUAUGCAAUGACAGCCUUAGAUUUUACUAAUUUCGUGAUGAUAUAUUUUAUGCAAUCAUAUACUGAAGCAUUACAGAGAUUGUUUAAUUAUGUUGCAGCAGCAAGAGCAAAGUGGAAUAACGCAUAGACUUAGAUGCUAUAAUAGAAGGAAGUGUGUUUAUCAGUCUAGAAUACAAAAAUUGAUGCAGACAGAAAGUAAUUAUACUAGAUUAUAGGACACUGUAUACACCUCAACUGAAUGGAAAGACUUAAUCGAACAUUAUUAGACAAGAUACGAGCACGCCUGUACAACUGAAAUGGGAAAGAAAUUGUGCAUGAAAGCUGCGUAUUUUGCAACUUAUUUACAGAAUAAAAGUUCUUCAACAGCAAUGAAUAUAACUGCAUAUAAAAAGAAAGUAAACUCCGCAAGAAGUACGCA